GCCACCUUAGCUCAGCGGCAGAGCAGCUGUUUUGUAAACAGCAGGUCGUCGGUUCAAAUCCGACAGGUGGCUC
rnacentral:tRNA from 15 species